rnacentral:rRNA from 1 species
GACGAACGCUGGCGGCGUGCUUAACACAUGCAAGUCGAACGCUGAAGCUUGGUGCUUGCACUGGGUGGAUGAGUGGCGGACGGGUGAGUAAUACGUGAGUAACCUGCCCUUGACUCUGGGAUAAGCCUGGGAAACUGGGUCUAAUACUGGAUAUGACAUGCCACUGCAUGGUGGUGUGUGGAAAGGGUUUUACUGGUUUUGGAUGGGCUCACGGCCUAUCAGCUUGUUGGUUAGGUAAUGGCCUACCAAGGCGACGACGGGUAGCCGGCCUGAGAGGGUGACCGGCCACACUGGGACUGAGACACGGCCCAGACUCCUACGGGAGGCAGAAGUGGGGAAUAUUGCACAAUGCGCGGAAGCCUGAUGCAGCGACGCCGCGUGAGGGAUGACGGCCUUCGGGUUGUAAACCUCUUUCAGCACGGAAGAAGCGAGAGUGACGGUACGUGCAGAAGAAGCGCCGGCUAACUACGUG